rnacentral:rRNA from 1 species
UACCCGCAGCUCAAGUGGUGGUCAUUAUUAAUUGGGCCUAAAGCGUCCGUAGCUGGCCUGUUAGAUGCCUGGGUAAAUCGAUGCGCUCAACGUAUCGAACUCCGGGUAGACCGGCAGGCUCGAGACCGGGAGAGGUGUAGGCUACUCGCGGGGUAGGGGUAAAAUCCUGUAAUCCUGCGGGGAGGACCAGUGGCGAAGGCGCUACACUAGAACGGCUCUGACAGUGAGGGACGAAGCCCUGGGGCGCAAACCGG